rnacentral:rRNA from 1 species
UACGUAGGGGGCAAGCGUUGUCCGGAAUCAUUGGGCGUAAAGCGCGUGUAGGCGGUUCGGUAAGUCUGCUGUGAAAGUCCAGGGCUCAACCCUGGGAUGCCGGUGGAUACUGUCGGACUAGAGUACGGAAGAGGCGAGUGGAAUUCCCGGUGUAGCGGUGAAAUGCGCAGAUAUCGGGAGGAACACCAAUUGCGAAGGCAGCUCGCUGGGACGUUACUGACGCUGAGGCGCGACAGCGUGGGGAGCAAACAGG